UAGGGAAUCUUCCACAAUGGACGCAAGUCUGAUGGAGCAACGCCGCGUGAGUGAAGAAGGUCUUCGGAUCGUAAAGCUCUGUUGUUGGUGAAGAAGGAUAGAGGCAGUAACUGGUCUUUAUUUGACGGUAAUCAACCAGAAAGUCACGGCUAACUACGUGCCAGCAGCCGCGGUAAUACGUAGGUGGCAAGCGUUGUCCGGAUUUAUUGGGCGUAAAGCGAGCGCAGGCGGAAUGAUAAGUCUGAUGUGAAAGCCCACGGCUCAACCGUGGAACUGCAUCGGAAACUGUCAUUCUUGAGUGCAGAAGAGGAGAGUGGAACUCCAUGUGUAGCGGUGGAAUGCGUAGAUAUAUGGAAGAACACCAGUGGCGAAGGCGGCUCUCUGGAUCUGCAACUGACGCUGAGGCUCGAAAGCAUGGGUAGCNGAACGA
rnacentral:rRNA from 1 species